UUGGCUGGUCUGGACGGGCGCCCCCGGCACUGUCACCUGACCACCCUGCCGUGGGCUUUCCGUUUCCCAGCCCAGAGCUUCCUUGCAGGAAUCACGUUGUGCUUCCCUCCACCUGGUGUGUCGGCGGGGCCGGGAGUUCCCUGUACCCUUCCACCUGCGGAGGCUGUGAGCUGCCUGUGCGGUGGUUCGGAACAAACCCCUUGCCCCCUUACCUGGGUUCACACCGACCACGUGACUCUCGGAGCUUGUGGGCUGGUGAUCAGAAGGAUGCACACCCCGCCCAGCACCAGCGCCUUGGUCAACCACGGGGCCUCUGCAGAAGCCUGAGCACUUGCCACAUUUUGGUCACUGUGGGCUGGACGCUGCGCGAGCUACCCACGCACAACACGCCCCCCCAAGCUCAGCCGGAGAAGCCUGGCCCUCGGCGUCUGCAGUGUGAUUUUACUCAUGAGAGACACAGAGAGAGGCAGACACAGGGGAAGCAGGCUUUCUGCAGGGAGCCUGAUUGGGACUUGAACCCAGGACUCCGGGACCAGACCCUGACCCGAAGGUAGACCCACCCAGGCGUCCUUGGACCCAACCUUUUACCUUACGCCUGGCCUGCAGGCAGGGCCUGUUCGCCCAUCCCGGGCCCUAUUCUUGUCCUGGAGGCCCCUGCAGGCCCGGGUCUGUGCCCGAGGGAGUAGGUGCUCUCAGAGCUUGUGUCACCUUGGGGGCCCUUCCCUCUGCGCCUCUCCUCCUGGGGGCGUGGGAGCUGGAGGCAGCAGCGCUCAAGGCCAAGGGCCAGCACAGGAGAGCCGAGGCAGGGCUGUGCCCUGCCGCCCGGGGAGGGGGGGGGCGCUGCUCAGGCCUGCACUCCCCGGACGUGCUUUUGCCUGGGGGGCCGCGGUCACUCCCCUCAGGCUGGAAGGCCUGCCCCAGUCCAGCCCCCCUACAAGCCCGCGGAGGAGUAGCUGAGCAGGCCUGGGGACCGCCCCCACUCGGUGCCUGGGGAGCGCUGGGGAGGGACACUGCCCCGGGCGGUGGGGAGGGAGUUCCUCCUGCCGUCACGCCCCGCCCCCCUGCGCAAUCUGCUCGCGGCGUGGGGGGAGCCGGGCUGCUUGGGCCCCGGGACCCCACGGCGCCCUGGGGCACAGCUCUCAGACGGGGCCGGGCCCGGUGGACGCGGCGGCACGGGGGCGGAUCGCAGAGCCCCACUGUGGGUGGGCCGCUUCCUGGGGCGCCGGUGGGUAUGGUAAGGACCGGACGCGACCAGAUGCUGGACGAGGGGCGGCCUCCGUGGAGCCCAGGGGGGCAUCGGGCCCGCAGGCCCCGGGGGCGCCGCUCGGGAGGGCACCGCCUCCCAGGCCGCCAGGUGGGCGCGCUGCUCCCGGACCUGCGGCGAUCGCGGCGCCCCGCGCCCGGCCCUGCCCUGCCCACCGCAGGGCCCGCCCCCGGCUCCCUGGCCCCGCCCUCGGCCCCGCCCCAGGUGCGCGCCGUGCGCGUGGGGCGCCG